AGUGAACGCUGGCGGUAGGCCUAACACAUGCAAGUCGAACGGCAGCACAGUAAGAGCUUGCUCUUACGGGUGGCGAGUGGCGGACGGGUGAGGAAUACAUCGGAAUCUACUUUUUCGUGGGGGAUAACGUAGGGAAACUUACGCUAAUACCGCAUACGACCUACGGGUGAAAGCAGGGGAUCUUCGGACCUUGCGCGAUUGAAUGAGCCGAUGUCGGAUUAGCUAGUUGGCGGGGUAAAGGCCCACCAAGGCGACGAUCCGUAGCUGGUCUGAGAGGAUGGUCCGCCACACUGGAACUGAGACACGGUCCAGACUCCUACGGGAGGCAGCAGUGGGGAAUAUUGGACAAUGGGCGCAAGCCUGAUCCAGCCAUACCGCGUGGGUGAAGAAGGCCUUCGGGUUGUAAAGCCCUUUUGUUGGGAAAGAAAAGCAGCAGGUUAAGACCCCGCUGUUCGGACGGUACCCAAAGAAUAAGCACCGGCGAACUUCGG
rnacentral:rRNA from 1 species